CAGAAAGUGGCAUAUUCCAAUCAAAAAGUGCAGUUUUUUUUGGCGUACCCAACGUAGGUACUACAUGAUCUACUCGAGCGAGUAGAUCACUCAGCGGUAUAAUCAACGGGGCUAUCCGGGACUGCAUCAUAGGCACAUGCACAUAAUGCACUCUAAAAGCCUAGGAAUAAUAAUAAUAUAAUAAUAGGCAUUUAUUGAGCUAAACAUGAUAUUAAGUACAUAUUCUAAUUAAUAGACAAAAAGCAUGUUAGCUCAAAGGGGCUUUUAAUACUCGACCACAAAUGGCAGAAUUGCAUAAUUUGGGUUUGUGCCAAACUUUAAGUGACUCAUAAGCAGUUUCAAGUACUCCGCUGUCUAUCCAUAAGUAAGGUGUACAUUGCUUUUUAAAAGAUUUAAGAGAAGAAAACUUUGAAUCAGUGAAAACGUUGUAAUAGGAAUUAUAAAUUUUUGAAGCAUUAUAAGUGAAACAUCUUUGAAAAAUACUGGUAUUAUGACUUGGUAAAAAAGUGAAGUUUUUUUUCUAAUAUUGACAUUAUCCAUGUCCUUUCUAAAUUUAAUUUUGCUGUAUAGGUAAGCUGGUGUUUUCGGGGAAAUGAUGUUGUAUAAGACGCAUGCUGCGUGUAACACUCUACGAUUUGACAUGUUAAGCCAUUUAACCUCACUUAACUUAUUACUAACAUGAUCAUAUCUUUUUAGACCAAAGAUAAGCCUAAGACAAGAGUUUUGCAUGCGUUGCACUCGUUUGACGUCACUUGCGUCAAGCAUUACCUUUGACUUUUAGUCGAAAUCGAUCGCCGUCAGAAAUAAUAAUAAAAACUGUUUGAGUCGCAAUUUUACUUUUUACAUUACCUUAAUUGCGAUUGAGGCUGUGCCUUAAAUUAAAGAUCAUUUUUAGAUUAAGGUAGGCUUUCCGAAGGAGUCCUGACACGUGACUUUUAAAACGAAAUUGAUUAUCUACCACAACACCUAGAUUUCUGACACUGUACUCUACUGGAAGCAAACUGUCCUUAAUUUGUAUUGCAACUUGCGAGAUGUUAUUGUUUCGGAUUUUGUUUCCACCAAAAUAACAUGACACUGCACUUGUUAAUAUUAAGUAUUAGACCGUGCAUUUCAGAAGUGCCUACUAAACUUUGCAAAUCAGAAUUUAUAAGGCUAUUCGCAUCCUCAAUUUUAUGAGCUGGAAACGUAUAAAAUAACUGCGUGUCAUCCGCAUACAGGUGAUACAUACAAUGUUUAAGACAAUCUUGUAUUUUGCUGGUAUAGAUGAUGUACAACAAUGGUCCUAAGACAGAUCCCUGUGGUACACCCGCCAUAACAGAAAGAGAGGUAGACACAUUUCCAUCAAGCCUGGCACACUGAGUGCGGUUGGAUAUAUAACUUUCAAUCAGGUGCACAGCCGAAAUGCUGAAACUAUUGUAAUUGAGGAUGGAUGUAAGCAAUUUGUGAGAAAUUCUAUCGAAUGCUUUUGAAUAAUCUAAUAUCAGCAUAGUUAAGUAAUUUUUGUCAAUCGCAAAUAAGAUAGUAUAGGUUACAAAUGCAGGUGCCGUAUUACAGCUAUGCCCCGGACGAAAACCUGACUGCAUCGGUGCGGUAACAUUUGCUCACUGUUUAAGAAGUGUUGUAUUUGUGAAGCAAUGACCUUUUCAAGAACUUGUCAAAAGCAGGGAAGAAUACUAAUUGGCCGUAGGUCCGGAUAUCUGCCAGGGGUUUUACCAUAGCCCAACAACAAAGCACGGUCAGCACGAUGACCUGCAUAAUACACUUACCACCUACACGUGGGAUUGGGGAUUAUGCUGAUCGGUCUGUAAUUAUUAAUCUCAGACUGAUGACCUGACUUGAAUACGGGACAUAUCCUAGCUAUCUUCCAUGCUGUUGGAAAGGUGGACGUAUUGGUUGAUAAAUUAAACAGAAUACAAAGAGGUAUUCUGAACACCAUGGCACAACCUGAUCAUGACCUGAUGGGUAUUUAUUAGGUAAUUUCUUAAUAGCUGUAUAGACCUCAUCUGUAGUAAUUCUAGUAAUAAUUGUAAUAUUGGGCAUGUUGGUAACCUUUGGACUGUUAUCAUUUAUCGUUUGUGACGGUAAAUAAACACUUUUGAAAUAAUCUCCAAAUGUGUUACCAAUACGCUCUGGUGUACACAUUGAAGUAGCACCCAUAGACAUUAUUCUGUUAGGUAUUCUUGUAUUACCUCGUUUUGAGUUAAUAAAAGACCAGAAAUUCGUCACAUUCUCAGUUAUAGCAUUUUCUGAAAAUGUUAUAUAAUCACUAUAAGCAUAUACGAAUUUUAGAUUUUACUACUCUUCUAAGACGUUUAAAUUCAAACAAGUCUGCACUAUUAUUAAACCGUUUAACUCUUUUAAAACACCGGUUUUUUAGUCUGAUGUAGGUAAUAUAUAUAAUUUCCGAAGAAAACCAUUUUGGGUAAUUACCUAGGUACGUUUUCUGCUGCUACAAUGGGGAACAUACAUAUCAAAUAUGGAAUACAGCUCCAAUGUUAACAUUGUUGUAUUGUUCAAAAAAGUCCCAAUUGAUGUUUAAAAGAGAACUGUACAAACCAAUAAAGUUAGCUCUUUUAAAAUUAUAGUUUCUUUGAACUUUGUUUACAUGGAAAUUUGAGUUAGGUAUCGCCUCCUGAAAGCAUACCUCAAUCGACAGCGCCGGGUGGUGAAGAUCCUCUUUUACAUAUGGCAUUUCCUCGUGAACAACUUCGCACGCUAUGUUACUAAUCAUAAUCACUAAAUCAAGUAUUCUCUUAUAUCAUUCAAAACCGUAUUAAACUGUCCCACGCACAGAAUAUUUAUAAAAUCAUCAUUAAGCGGGAUUUCGUAUCGUUAAUAACCGUGAGAAACUUUGGUACAUUGAAGUCUCCAAGUAUUAGAACGUCAUUAAACCAUUUGUUCAAAUAUUUCCAAAAAAGACUGGAAGUCCGUUAUCGGUGUAUCUGGAGGUAUAUAAAUCACAAAAAUAUGCACAGUUUGCACGUUGAAUAAUCAUUUACAACCGCUAAUGUCAAUGUUUGGUAAGAUGUUUUUUAAAACUGUUAUGUCAAUUGUAUAGCAGCUAAUAUCACCCUUGAGAGCAAGUAAAGCACCUCCACCCCAUAUUUUUUGUCAACCACUGUAAAGUUUCGGUCAAAGCAAAAAACUUGAUAGUUUGUUGGAAACGGUUCAUCACUAGAAAUGUCAGGAGAAUUGUUUAAUUAUCUUUAUUCCUGUAUUUACAUAUCUAACUUAAAUUGUCUAGCCUCAUUCACGCUUCGAUUAUUACUACCCGCUCUACUUUCCUCAGUUGUUCCUCAAUCAAUCACCUGUCCCCCGCCUUAACAUAAAUUUACAUAUUCUACAGACUACAAUAAUUCUUAUCUAUCUUCCACUACAAGUUGGAACAUUUGUAGAUAUGCUCUUAACAAUUUCUACUACCUUGUUGGGAUCAACCAGAUUCAUCAGAUUCAGAUGCCCUUUCAACAUUAAAUAUGAUUAAGUUAGAAGUUCUAUUUUGUCUCUCUUAUUGCUAAUAUUGUCUCAGAUAGCUCAGCCACUGGUUGAUGGCCUGCAGAUGGUUGAGUUGCCUUGUUCUUCAGGUCGUCUAUCUCAGCCCGCAAUUGCAGAAUUUUUUAAUUCGCCUAACUCAUCUGAUUUAUUCUUACACGCAGAACAUGCGAUUCUUAUUCAAUAAACAUUGCAACUCACUACGUGAUAAACCAGAGCAUGUGGUAACUUACAAAAAUCACAUGAAAGUUCUUUAUCGGGAUUUAAUAAUUGUUGGACAGAAACACUACAUUCACUCACUGGCAUUUUAGGCUUCUUUCAAGUAAAUUCAAUUGAUUCACUAUGAACAAAUGAGACACGUCCGCUCUGUUUAACGUCUAACCACUAAUCGUUCAUUGUUUACAUUCGUCAUGUUUUGUUUUCAACUACUGUUUUGAAAAUUGAAUAAUCUCAUUUAUAAAAGGAAAAAUUCUCAAUGGAAAAAUAUCAAAUUACAUUAAUUUGACAUUAUUCUCAUUGGAAAAAUAUCAAAUUACAAUAAUUUGAUGGCCAUAAGAAAAACAUAACACAGGGGACACAUAGUAAGUAAAAAUUGUUUGUAAAUUUUUGUAAAACCCAUUAUGUGCCCUGCAACAAAUUUUUCGUUUUUAAAUUCUGCUUCUGCGAUUUAUGAUCGCCAUAGGCGGUACAAGCUGUAAAAUGAAAGAUCACAAACAAUGUACCUACUUGCAGUUUGUAUAAUAUCAACAAUUACCAUACUUCUGUUAUGUUUUUGUGAAACAAUUUUGAAUUAUGGGUACUGUAACUGUUAUGACCGUGUUCGUUAGAGCGUUACUCUGCAGUAGUAGAGAAAUUUGAGGCUAAACGCUAAAAAUGGCUAAACCUUACGUAACGAGACUGCUGCUACAAAUCGGUUGCAGUCGGAUGAAUUGUGAAUAGGUUUACAGAAAAUAACCGAAAUAUGGGUUUUGGAAAAUGACUGUGCCGGCCCUGACAGUAUAGGUAAAUAAAUGUUGAAGCGUACAACUUAUAUUAAUCAAUUUGACGAAUUGGAUAUGAAUAUGCUGUUUCGUUGCAGCAUUAUUUACUCUUUAUACAACCCUUCGUACUCGUACUAACCUGUUUCGCCCAUCCCGAGUUCCCGCCGUGCAUCAAAUCACCCACGACUUGCAAGUUGAUGAAUUACACGACCACAACUGUACAAUCACCGUCUACGUCGAAAAAACUUCGGUAAUUGGCUUCGUUUCGGAAUGGAUUAAUACCUAUACAUUUAUCUCACAAAAUCAAGAGCGCCUAUAUUUGUACCUGAUUCUUAGUGUAACGGCGGCUGUAGUGCUAUGUUUAAUUCUCCUCGUCGGUAGGCUAUUAGUACAACGGCAGCAUGCAAGACGAGAAGCCAAAUUUCACGCAAACGCCGCAGCUGACCAUUCGUUACCAAAUUGUUUUACUGACGAUAUUAGUGAAAUAGACGUGGACAUUGAUUUGCCUCCCACUAAUCCAGUACCCGUACCAAAUGUUGCAGUUCAUACAUCCACCCCAAUGGAAACUGUUGCCGAAGUCGUUAGAUAUCCACACAUAUACACUCACACGUUGCGGAGGCAACCUGAGACUGACGCUCCACGUAGCCUCAGCAGUACCUCAAACACUCAAUAUUACUACGAGUGACUAGAAUGCCUGGACCGCAGAUCGGUUGCUCAAACCUUGCUACCUACUUCUGCGUGCCCAGGCCAUCGUACUUAUUGUUUUUAGAGACACUUGGUGCCAGAAAUAGUGAACCAGACCAAAGAUUCAAAUCUCCAAAUCUUUUGUAAGAAUCCUUUAUUAAUGUUAUUAUUAAUGUAUUGAUCCUAUGUAAUAAUUAACUUUUUUUUAUAACAACAAAAUGAUCAAAUUAAAUUACACCUCUCUGUAGUUAUUUAGUAGAUAUGGAAAUAUACCUUUAUGUUGAUUCA